rnacentral:lncRNA from 1 species
UGUGUUACAUUACAUUCAUUUUAUUUCAUAUUUUAAAAUCAAGUAUAAACAUAAUAUUUAUUUUAAAAAUCAAGCUUAACAUAUUAUAUUACACAUCAAACUUUUUUUCUAUUUAACAUAUUAAAUUAUUCAAUGUAAUAACAUCAAUUUCACAUACUACAUUACUAGUAUUAUAUUCAUGUUAAAGGCUGCGAUAGCUUGAGUCCAUCAGUCUAAAAGCAAGAAGCUUUCGGUACUCAGGAGCUUCUCACUUGGUCUUGGCAAUCCUUAUUUUCUUAUUGCCAAUUCUAGCUCUCUUCCUCUGCAAAGUCAAGGGAGUCGCCAACUUCUAAAUCUUCACUACAUUUGGAACUACAUUAGAUAUAUUUUAUAAGUUCUGUAUGUUGGGAUUAUGUCCAACAACACUAGGCAUGGCAGCCUGGAUGAAUCUCCAGUGAUGAAAGCUUCUCUUGAAAACAUCUGAAUUGAAUUCUCCCGAAAGAGAGGACAAUCUAACAUAUUUCCCUUCUUUGUAAGUUGCAUAACCAUACACUUGCUAAGAAUUAAUCCCAACUACGCAAUAUGUCACAAGAUACAUUCACUUGCAAGUCAAAAGUGGCUUCUAAAAGAAGAUCCAAAAGAAUUUAGAUUGAUGCAUCAAAAUAUAGGCCUCACCCAACUCGACUAAUUUGAGGUAGCCUCCUGGUUAUAGGCCGAGCCCA